AUGAACGCUGGCGGCGUGCCUAAUACAUGCAAGUCGAGCGAACAGACGCGGAGCUUGCUCCUCUGACGUUAGCGGCGGACGGGUGAGUAACACGUGGAUAACCUACCUAUAAGACUGGGAUAACUUCGGGAAACCGGAGCUAAUACCGGAUAAUAUAUUUAACCGCAUGGUUCAAUAGUGAAAGACGGUUUUGCUGUCACUUAUAGAUGGAUCCGCGCCGCAUUAGCUAGUUGGUAAGGUAACGGCUUACCAAGGCAACGAUGCGUAGCCGACCUGAGAGGGUGAUCGGCCACACUGGAACUGAGACACGGUCCAGACUCCUACGGGAGGCAGCAGUAGGGAAUCUUCCGCAAUGGGCGAAAGCUUGACGGAGCAACGCCGCGUGAGUGAUGAAGGUCUUCGGAUCGUAAAACUCUGUUAUUAGGGAAGAACAAAUGUAUAAGUAACUAUGCACGUCUUGACGGUACCUAAUCAGAAAGCCACGGCUAACUACGUG
rnacentral:rRNA from 1 species